GGGAGCGAGUAGGCUCCGGUGAGCUUUGCGGACUUCAAAUCCGUUGAUGGGCACCCCUCGGUGUCCAUGGUGGGUUCGACUCCCAUUCGCUCCC
rnacentral:tRNA from 1 species